rnacentral:rRNA from 1 species
AAACUUUCAACAACGGAUCUCUUGGUUCCGGCAUCGAUGAAGAACGCAGCGAAAUGCGAUAAGUAAUGUGGACCGCAGYACUCAGCGACUCAUCGAAUCUUUGAACGCAUAUUGCGCCCCGUGGUGACCCCAUAGGGCACACCUGUCCGAGCGUCAUUG